rnacentral:lncRNA from 10 species
GCGGAAGUUUAAUAUGCAAAAGAAAGAGAAGAGUUCUCUGCUGCAGAGAGGGGUCUCAGAAAAAUGGGUUGCCGGAUCCGCGGUGAAAUGCAGGAGGUUUUAUAGAUGAGCUGGUGGGGAGGCGGCGUCUGAUCUACAUAGGCAAGAAAGGGCAAGAAAGACUGGUUAGACCAGUUGUGCUAUUUGCAUAGGGCACGAAUCUCUGGUAUCCCCCAUCCUAACCUUUUUUUAUUAUCCAGGCGCGUCUCUGCCUGAGGUGCACCAUGUUGCCCAUUUCUUUAUUACUGUACACGUGAUAACAAAAAAAGAGAAGAUGGAGCCUCCAUGUUGGACAUGGCCGCCCCCAGAUGGAGCCCCGGGGGGGCCGUGGCUGGCCUGGAGCUGGGGUGGCAGAGUCUCUCUCCUGGUUUUGCUCUCACAGAGCGUGACAUCUCCCUGGAGCAAGGUGGGACCACUGCUGAGCUCACAUCAGUCACUGUACUUCCUAGGAAGUUUUCUGAUACAACGUCAUUUCCUGUAAGUUGGGAUUUUUGCACACAGGACAAAACAAAGAUGACAGCUCAUCUCUCUUGACCCUGAUGUGAUGGCUGGAGCUAGAGUGACCAUCUGGAACCACCUGGUGAACUUGAGCUUGAGACUCUAACACUGCAGAGUGUCAUACCAACUGUGAUGACCUACUCAGACUUCUAAGUAAGACAGCAAUAAACUUCAUUCUGAUUUAACCCACUGUUACUUUGAGCUUUUUCUAUUACAGUCAAGUCUAAUCCUAACCGAUAUAUGCUCCCUUCAACUUUUCCUCAGGCACUGGGAGAAAAGACAGAGCACAAAAGAUGCAACCUCAAACUGAAUUUCUAAGAGGAAGACGAGUCUCAGGGCAAUGGGAA